UACGUAGGGGGCAAGCGUUGUCCGGAAUUAUUGGGCGUAAAGAGCUCGUAGGCGGUUCGGCAAGUCGGAUGUGAAAUCUCCACGCUUAACGUGGAGGAGCCAUUCGAAACUGCCGUGACUCGAGUCCGGUAGGGGAGUGUGGAAUUCCCGGUGUAGCGGUGAAAUGCGCAGAUAUCGGGAGGAACACCAGUAACGAAGGCGGCACUCUGGGCCGGUACUGACGCUGAGGAGCGAAAGCGUGGGGAGCGAACAGG
rnacentral:rRNA from 1 species